rnacentral:rRNA from 1 species
AUGCUGAUUAGGAAGUUAUGGUGGGGGAGUAAAGACGUCAAAUGCAAAAAACAAUGGGUAUCCUGGCAAACCAUGACUCAACCAAAAAAUGGGGGUUUAGGGUUUAAAGAUUUCGAGCAUUUCAACCUCGCAAUGCUUGUUAGGCAAACGUGGCACUUGCUACAAUAUCUCGACACUCUGAGUGCACGAUUAUUGAAAAGCAUAUAUUUUUCGAAUCCUGAUAUUCUCCAAGCUAGUAUCGGAGGCCACCCUAGCCAGGUAUGGAGGGCUAUAGUAGAGGGUAUAGACACCUUAAAGCAAGGUAUCAGGCGUGUUGGUAAUGGUGAGACAACACACAUUCGAAGCGACAACUGGUUGCCCUGA